CCCUGAUGACACCGGGAGCAGGGAACUGGUAGCUCUGCUGAGCCCUUCUUGCCAGUAGGAGUGGCUCCGCCCCGUCGAGGAGGCCGACCCGCUUUCCUGAGGAGCCUGCAAGGCCUCCCCGGAGCAGGUGUCUUGCGUGGCCCUGCUGGUCCUGCUCGGCGCCCCUGUGGCUUCCAGGCCUAGAGCCGGACUGGAGCGCCGGCAGGGGUCGCGGGGUGCGCCGCGCUCCGCAGGCAGAUCUUAACCCUGAGCGACAUCGGUCACUCACGUGGCCUCAACGUCCAGUCAGGAGCUGAUCAUCUGUAAACAAAGAGAAGCUGUUGGAGAACCUGUACUGCCCUCUGGAUUUUUGUGCCAAUAAAUCCAACCUCCUCCCAAGUUA